rnacentral:rRNA from 1 species
GACGAACGCUGGCGGCGUGCUUAACACAUGCAAGUCGAACGGAAAGGCCCUGCUUUUGUGGGGUGCUCGAGUGGCGAACGGGUGAGUAACACGUGAGUAACCUGCCCUUGACUUUGGGAUAACUUCAGGAAACUCGGGCUAAUACCCGAUAGGAGCUCCUGCUGCAUGGUGGGGGUUGGAAAGUUUCGGCGGUUGGGGAUGGACUCGCGGCUUAUCAGCUUGUUGGUGGGGUAGUGGCUUACCAAGGCUUUGACGGGUAGCCGGCCUGAGAGGGUGACCGGCCACAUUGGGACUGAGAUACGGCCCAGACUCCUACGGGAGGCAACAGUGGGGAAUAUUGCGCAGUGGGCGGAAGCCUGAUGCAGCAACGCCGCGUGCGGGAUGACGGCCUUCGGGUUGAAAACCGCUUUCGCCUGUAACGAAGCGUGAGUGACGGUAAUGGGUAAGGAAGCACCGGCUAACUACGUG